UACGUAGGGUGCGAGCGUUGUCCGGAAUUAUUGGGCGUAAAGAGCUCGUAGGCGGUCUGUCGCGUCGGUCGUGAAAACUUGGGGCUUAACCCUGAGCUUGCGGUCGAUACGGGCAGGCUAGAGUUCGGUAGGGGAGACUGGAAUUCCUGGUGUAGCGGUGAAAUGCGCAGAUAUCAGGAGGAACACCGGUGGCGAAGGCGGGUCUCUGGGCCGAUACUGACGCUGAGGAGCGAAAGCCAGGGGAGCAAACGGG
rnacentral:rRNA from 1 species